GGAAGGAUCAUUAUUGAAUAAACCUGAUGGGUUGUUGCUGGUUCUCUAGGGAGCAUGUGCACGCCUUGUCAUCUUUAUAUCUCCACCUGUGCACCUUUUGUAGACCUUCCAGGUCUAUGUUGCUACAUUUACCCCAAUGCAUGUUAAUAGAAUGUUGUGCCUAUAUAAUAUAUACAACUUUCAGCAACGGAUCUCUUGGCUCUCGCAUCGAUGAAGAACGCAGCGAAAUGCGAUAAGUAAUGUGAAUUGCAGAAUUCAGUGAAUCAUCGAAUCUUUGAACGCACCUUGCGCUCCUUGGUAUUCCGAGGAGCAUGCCUGUUUGAGUGUCAUUAAUAUAUCAACCUUCUCUUGUUGAAUGGUUUGGAUGUGGGGGUUUUGCUGGCCUUUUUAAAGGGUUCA
rnacentral:misc_RNA from 1 species